CUAAUUUCCCAAUGAGUUCUAAAAUAGCAAAUACCAUCAUUUGAAAUGAAAGACUGGUUAUCGACUCCAUCCCUAUGAACCGACGCCUAGAACGGAAUCACAGCUUACUGCACACGAUUCCUUUCUGAGCAAAAAGAUCUGGUGCUGCUCCGAAGAAUCUACAUAAACAUACAAACAGAUGUGCCUAAGGGACAGCUCUAAACCCACAAACCAAUAGAUGGCAUUUUAAAUCAACGACUCGAAGCUGCAAACAACAUCCAUUUUGCUCUGUUUGGCAGUGUGCAAGUUUACAUCUAGCAAACAUUUCUCAACAUGAAUGAACUGUGCAAUUGUCUCCCGCUACCUCACACGCCUCUCAGUUGCAUUAGACUGUGUGAGCCUCUCCUGCACCUUGUCCCAUAGGCCGCCAGUGCCUCAGGAGGCAAGGGCCCCACACCUGAGAGGCGAGCCAGCGUGUUAGGGUAAAAUAACUGGAAAUACCACACCUUGCUCAACAGCGCACAGGGAAGCGGCUGUGCUGGGACCUAGACAUGUCGCUAGGGGACGCAAGGGGGCGAACCAUGUAUAUUUCAAUUCCGACUAUAACCUCAGGGAAAUGAUGACCAGCUCAUCCCGCUCUGAGCCAAUGUCAAGCGCUGCCCUGUGAGCGUAAGUGAAUGAUUUUACUCUGAAGAAAACAAUAUACAAACGGGUGCAGUGUUUUAGUUGUUUUCAACCGGCAGCCAACUCUUCAGAGUCCAAGUUUCCCUGCUUUGUGGAUUACAUAUGUUCAUUAACUUUAAUCCGGCACACACAAGAUGAAGAAGCUGAACUCAGGCCUCCAGUGAAUGGGAUCCUGCCUAUUUAUUUUCAGAGUACAUAUUACUCUGAACUGUGAAGAGACCAAGGAAAGCCACGGAAUGAAACAUACAGCAAACACAACAGAUCCUGCUCCAGACUCCUCACUUACUGCGCACUGGCUUUCUGGUUGCUGACAGCAAUCCACAAAUCCUGGAGGACAAUGCCACAGAGAAUGGGCCAGGUGAAAACUGUGUUCUGCUUGGGACCCAUCACCCGACAACCAGGAAGAUUAAGACCUGCUCCAGCUGGUCUGCUGGCCCUGCGAGGGGAUGGCCACAACGAGAGCACUUCUGGAGCGCGAACACCCAGGAAUGCAAUCCCAGAAGACUUCCACAGCCUGCCAAGACCUCUCACUUGCAAGGUGGACUCAAUAGCUACCUAGUGGCGUCUACGAAAGGCUCUUUUCUGCCCUCUCAUCUGAGCAAUACUUCGUAGAUCUAGUCUUUUCCCUUUCGAUCAUUCAUUUCAUAAAUAUGUAUUUAAUACACGGUGAGCCUCUUUUGUGUGGCAGACUCUGUUAUACUCCAAGUUUAUAGGAGAAUUAAUUUUCUUCUCUCAAUGGACAGC